AUGCCAGCUGUUGGGCUGGGGUGGGAUCGGGGUGCCGGCUGUGGGACUGCGAUGGGAUCGGGGUGCUGGUUGUGGGACUGGGGUGGCAGCUUAAGGGGUGACCGAGCCCUCCCUCCCCGCCGCUCCCGGAUGCCCCUCGCCCUCCACGCUGGGAGCGCCGUGGCUGGCCGAGCCCCCGGCAUGUUCCGCGGGAGUCCGCGCACCCUACAGCGUCUUCCGCCACAGCCUCGUGUUCAGGCGUCCGCCCCGCAGGGGAGUCCCGUCCGCGCCCCUUCACCCACAGCAGCGUCCGGGCGAGGGGUGCCCGUACCUGGAGGCCUGAAGGUACCGCCGUGCCGCUCGUGCGCACUGCUCCCUGGCCCCGUCCGUCCACUGACCAUCGUCCCUCGGCCCGACCGCCCGCGCGGGGCAGGCGACACCAACCGGGACCGCGGGGACCAGGAGGAAGCGACGGCGUUAGGAGCUGACAGCGUCGGUCCGCGCACGCGCCCCGGGCCCCGUUGUGCCUUAUUUCACGGCCCCGCCUUCCUCCCCGGCAAGCGCCAAAUAAGUGUCCGGCCCUCCCAGCCCCGUGCGUGCGCGGCCCCGCUGCCUGCGUCACUAGGAAGCGCGCGCCCGCGCCGCCGCCGCCGCCGCCGCCGCCGCCGAAUCCCCAACAAGGAGCGAAGCCCGCGGCCGCCGCCGCCGCCCGCCGCCGCCGCAGCUCCCGACGCCGCCGCCCCCGCCGGGCGCCCGAGUAGGCCCGGCGCGGUCCCAGGUAAGCGGCGCCGGCGCGCCCGCGGCCCCCCCGCGGCGAGGCCUCUCGCUCCGCUCACGCGCCGCCGUCCAGUCAGGGGGUCCCUGCGGAGCGUCAGGACGUUACGGCGGGGGGAGGGGGAGGGCCGGGGAGGGGCGGCCGCGCGGGCGGCGGCGUCAGGCGCGACGGCGGCGUCAGGCGGGCGGCGCGGGCGGUGGCGGGCGCGGGCGGCGGCGCUUCCUGCCUCCAUCUUGGCGCCGCGGGCGGGCGCGGGCUCGGCUUCCAGCGGCCUGCUCGGUGGACCCAGCCCGGGGGACCACGCCGCAGGCACCCGCCCCGCAGGGACGCGACCCUCCGGGGCCAUCCCGUAG
rnacentral:lncRNA from 1 species